UGGGGAAUCUUGGACAAUGGGGGCAACCCUGAUCCAGCCAUGCCGCGUGAGUGAUGAAGGCCUUAGGGUCGUAAAGCUCUUUCGCCUGUGAAGAUAAUGACGGUAGCAGGUAAAGAAACCCCGGCUAACUCCGUGCCAGCAGCCGCGGUAAUACGGAGGGGGUUAGCGUUGUUCGGAAUUACUGGGCGUAAAGCGCACGUAGGCGGACCAGAAAGUUGGGGGUGAAAUCCCGGGGGCUCAACCCCGGAACUGCCUCCAAAACUAUUGGUCUAGAGUUCGAGAGAGGUGAGUGGAAUUCCAAGUGUAGAGGUGAAAUUCGUAGAUAUUUGGAGGAACACCAGUGGCGAAGGCGGCUCACUGGCUCGAUACUGACGCUGAGGUGCGAAAGUGUGGGGAGCAAAACAGGAUUAGAUACCCUGGUAGUCCACACCGUAAAACGAUGAAUGCCAGUCGUCGGGUAGCAUGCUAUUCGGUGACACACCUAACGGAUUAAGCAUUCCGCCUGGGGAGUACGGUCGCAAGAUUAAAACUCAAAUGAAUUGAUGG
rnacentral:rRNA from 1 species